rnacentral:lncRNA from 1 species
UUUCAGUCAAUAAAUAAAAUAAACGCGUCAAUCGAACUAAUUUAAGAAAAUGUAUGAAAAUACAGCAGAUCAAUGUUUGAACUUGAAGGUGAUUUGGGAGAGACCCGAAACCGUAUCUUUUGAUGACGAUAAAGGGGAAAGCAAAUCCCUACACAUACGCAGGUACAAACGUGGGUCAGUGCAAUUGGGAAGAACGUGUGCGUUGAUUUGGAAAGAGGAAUCACAGUGAAUAAUAAAACAAGAAGAAUUACACCAGAAACACAAAUUAUUAAAAUUUGUGGGAGUCUUUUAAAUUAACCAACAAAUAAAGUGCACUGAAGCUUAAUUUAAAAACCGCAUUUGCAAAAUUAUUGUUGGAAGUUCUUUGAAUUUUUAUUCAAAUAUUUUUUGAAAUUUGGAUAUCUUGAUCUUGCUAUAGUUUUGAGUUCACUUUACCUGUUUCGACAAUAUAAGGCUUUAAACAAAUAAUUUUAACAAAAAAUAAUUAUUUAUCAGGUCAGAAAGUAAAUGACUUGUGAUGAAAGAAAUUAAGAAAAACAUAAAGAACAAGAAAAUGGGAAAAAAAAAUUGCAAAACUCUUCCCAAUUCGCCUAUCCAGACGGAUUUUUCCUAUGUCUGGUAAAUCACUAGAAAAAAAAUGCAAUGUUGAAAACCAGAGACCUAGAUCAAGGAGAAAAGUGGAUCGACUAGAUGAAAAUCCUCAAGUGAAUCAAGCACCACUACUAAAGAUCCUCUUAUUGAGGAAUUCGGUGGCCUCCCAAUUCUAUUGAGUAUAUGAGGGCUUUUAGGAUAUUGUGAAACUUCAUGACGUGCAAGAUGCUAUCACCCUGUCGAGCUUCCCCUCUAACCCUCGGGAAAGAGGUGAGAGAUUAAUAUAAAACAUUAGAGCAACCCCAAUCACAACACCAAAACGUUAUUUUUCACCAAAUAUUUGGUGCAAUCUCACUCCAACCUAAGAACAAAUUUUGCACCAUUGUGCAAUACUAUUCAGUUGCACGAUUUUGCACCAAAUGAUAUGGAGCGUAUUUGUAUCAUUUUAUAUUAUACAUAAAUUUUAAUUCUUAAUUAAGUAAUUUUAUUAUUAUUAUUAUUAUUAUUAUUAUUAUUAUUAUUAUUAUUAUUAUUAUUUGAAACAAACUUUAAUUCUGUAAGCAAUAAUAAUUGAUGAAUGAAUUAAAAUAAAAGUACUCAAAAGUUUAAAAUGCAGCAAACAUGAUUAAAGACUUCCUGUGGAGGCUUUAUAGAAGCAUCUUGAUUCUCAUUGUUCUGUAAGUGAUAUGCAUCCACAGAAACAGAAUUCUGAUGUGAUUUACUUAUUUCUGCAACCUCAUCAUCCCCAACGGGCAAGUCAUCCAUACCCAAAUCAAUAUCAUUGCCACUUAAAACUGCUGCAGUCUCAAAAAACUCAGGGAAUCUAAUGAAUAUAAGAAUCAAGUACAACACAGCUACACCCAACAAAAAAUAUGACAAUUUGAACCUCCUUGCACUUUGAGACUCGCCUUUUAAUCUCUUCAUCUCUAGAAACUAAACAAACUAACCAAAAAUCCUUGACACGUGUAGCCAGAUGUCUCAUCAAAUCUCUUUGUCACACAUACCAUAACCAUAAAAUUAAGAACAUAUCCAGCGAAGGAAUACAAAAUGAACAGAACCUUCGGGUAUAACUUUCAUACAAAAGCCCCAGUACAAUAAUACCGGUCUAAAACAAUACUCACCAAGAAUAUCUGAAUAACAGGUAAAGAAUACUAUCCCAUUAUGGUUCCCACAGAGAUGAACAAUUGAAAUUAGCAAAACUACUAUUAAACUAAUCAACGAUUCUACGAAUUAACAUCGGUCAACAACAUAAAGAUCACAUUUUCAGAAUACUGAAAAGCAAAUCGGGUGAAACCCUAGUUCUCCAGCAUUCCAUGGCAUUGCCAGAUGCAAUUAAUUACAGCCCUGAUGCACCCAACUUGAGUGUUUCAGUCAAUAAAUAAAAUAAACGCGUCAAUCGAACUAAUUUAAGAAAAUGUAUGAAAAUACAGCAGAUCAAUGUUUGAACUUGAAGGUGAUUUGGGAGAGACCCGAAACCGUAUCUUUUGAUGACGAUAAAGGGGAAAGCAAAUCCCUACACAUACGCAGGUACAAACGUGGGUCAGUGCAAUUGGGAAGAACGUGUGCGUUGAUUUGGAAAGAGGAAUCACAGUGAAUAAUAAAACAAGAAGAAUUACACCAGAAACACAAAUUAUUAAAAUUUGUGGGAGUCUUUUAAAUUAAAAGUGCACUAAAGAGUAAUUGAAAAACCACAUUUGCAAAAUUAUUGUUGAAAGUUCUUUGAAUUUUUAUUCAAAUAUUUUUUGAAAUUUGGAUAUCUUGAUCUCGCUAUGGUUUUGGGUUCACUUUACCUGUUUCGACAAUAUAAGGCUUUAAAUAAAAAAUAAUUAUUUAUCAGGUACGAAAGUAAAUGACUUUUGAUGAAAGAAAUUAAGAAAAACAUAAAGAACAAGAAAAUGGGAAAAAAUUGCAAAACUCUUCCCAAUUCGCCUAUCCAGACUGAUUUUUCCUAUGUCUCUGGUAAAUCACCAGAAAAAAAAGGCAAUGUUGAAAAACCAAGGACUUAGAUCAAGGAGAAAAGUGGAUCAAUUAGAUGAAAAUCCUCAAGUGAAUCAAGCACCACUACUAAAGAGCCUCUUAUUGAGGAAUUUGGUGGCCUCUCGAUUCUAUUGAGUAUAUGAGGGCUUUUAGGAUAUUGUGAAACUUCAUGACGUGCAAGAUGCUAUCACCCUGUCGAGCUU